AUUGAACGCUGGCGGCAGGCCUAACACAUGCAAGUCGAGCGGAGCGGCGGACGGGUGAGUAAUGCCUAGGAAUCUGCCUGGUAGUGCGGGAUAACGUCCGGAAACGGGAGCUAAUACCGCAUCCUAUCAGAUGAGCCUAGGUCGGAUGGGCUGGUUGGGGGGGUAAAGGCCUAGCAAGGCGACGAUCCGUAUCUGGUCUGGGAGGAUGAUCAGUCACACUGGAACUGAGACACGGUCCAGACUCCUACGGGAGGCAGCAGUGGGGAAUAUUGGACAAUGGGCGAAAGCCUGAUCCAGCCAUGCCGCGUGUGUGAAGAAGGUCUUCGGAUUGUAAAGCACUUUAAGUUGGGAGGCGUUACCAGCAGAAGAAGCACCGGCUAACUUCGUGCCAGCAGCCGCGGUAAUAC
rnacentral:rRNA from 1 species